rnacentral:rRNA from 1 species
CCUACGGGGGCUGCAGUGGGGAAUAUUGGACAAUGGGCGAAAGCCUGAUCCAGCCAUGCCGCGUGUGUGAAGAAGGCCUUCGGGUUGUAAAGCACUUUCAGUGGGGAAGAAAGCCUUGGGGCUAAUACCCUCGAGGAAGGACAUCACCCACAGAAGAAGCACCGGCUAACUCCGUGCCAGCAGCCGCGGUAAUACGGAGGGUGCGAGCGUUAAUCGGAAUUACUGGGCGUAAAGCGCGCGUAGGCGGUCUGAUAAGCCGGUUGUGAAAGCCCCGGGCUCAACCUGGGAACGGCAUCCGGAACUGUCAGGCUAGAGUGCAGGAGAGGAAGGUAGAAUUCCCGGUGUAGCGGUGAAAUGCGUAGAGAUCGGGAGGAAUACCAGUGGCGAAGGCGGCCUUCUGGACUGACACUGACGCUGAGGUGCGAAAGCGUGGGUAGCAAACAGGAUUAGAUCCCCCUGUAGUC